rnacentral:rRNA from 1 species
AGAGUUUGAUCCUGGCUCAGGAUGAACGCUGGCGGCGUGCUUAACACAUGCAAGUCGAACGAAGCGCCUUGAUUCGAUUCUUCGGAUGAAGAUCUUGGUGACUGAGUGGCGGACGGGUGAGUAACGCGUGGGUAACCUGCCUCAUACAGGGGGAUAACAGUUAGAAAUGACUGCUAAUACCGCAUAAGACCACAGCACCGCAUGGUGCAGGGGUAAAAACUCCGGUGGUAUGAGAUGGACCCGCGUCUGAUUAGGUAGUUGGUGGGGUAACGGCCUACCAAGCCGACGAUCAGUAGCCGACCUGAGAGGGUGACCGGCCACAUUGGGACUGAGACACGGCCCAAACUCCUACGGGAGGCAGCAGUGGGGAAUAUUGCACAAUGGGGGAAACCCUGAUGCAGCGACGCCGCGUGAGCGAUGAAGUAUUUCGGUAUGUAAAGCUCUAUCAGCAGGGAAGAAAAUGACGGUACCUGACUAAGAAGCACCGGCUAAAUACGUGCCAGCAGCCGCGGUAAUACGUAUGGUGCAAGCGUUAUCCGGAUUUACUGGGUGUAAAGGGAGCGUAGACGGAGUGGCAAGUCUGAUGUGAAAACCCGGGGCUCAACCCCGGGACUGCAUUGGAAACUGUCAAUCUAGAGUACCGGAGAGGUAAGCGGAAUUCCUAGUGUAGCGGUGAAAUGCGUAGAUAUUAGGAGGAACACCAGUGGCGAAGGCGGCUUACUGGACGGUAACUGACGUUGAGGCUCGAAAGCGUGGGGAGCAAACAGGAUUAGAUACCCUGGUAGUCCACGCCGUAAACGAUGACUACUAGGUGUCGGGCAGCAAAGCUGUUCGGUGCCGCAGCAAACGCAAUAAGUAGUCCACCUGGGGAGUACGUUCGCAAGAAUGAAACUCAAAGGAAUUGACGGGGGCCCGCACAAGCAGUGGAGUAUGUGGUUUAAUUCGACGCAACGCGAAGAACCUUACCAAGUCUUGACAUCCUGCGACAGACAUAGAAAUAUGUUUUUCCUUCGGGACGCAGAGACAGGUGGUGCAUGGUUGUCGUCAGCUCGUGUCGUGAGAUGUUGGGUUAAGUCCCGCAACGAGCGCAACCCUUAUGGUCAGUUACUACGCAAGAGGACUCUGGCCAGACUGCCGUUGACAAAACGGAGGAAGGUGGGGAUGACGUCAAAUCAUCAUGCCCUUUAUGACUUGGGCUACACACGUACUACAAUGGCGUUAAACAAAGAGAAGCAAGACCGCGAGGUGGAGCAAAACUCAGAAACAACGUCCCAGUUCGGACUGCAGGCUGCAACUCGCCUGCACGAAGUCGGAAUUGCUAGUAAUCGUGGAUCAGCAUGCCACGGUGAAUACGUUCCCGGGCCUUGCACACACCACCCGUCA